rnacentral:lncRNA from 1 species
GUGAGGUAACAGUUACAAUAAUUAAUUUUUUUCAUCAUAAUUAUUUUUAAUUUUAUUGAAGGUAAACGUAUUGCUCAUCUAAAAGCAUAAUCUUUUAGAUCAAACUCAGUUUGACUGAAUAUAGUUAUUAUAAAACUUUUUUUCAAAUUUCCUAAUUAUUAUUUUGAUAUUUUUGGGAUUUUUUUUAUUUUUUCAUAGAUAAAAGAGGAC